UACGUAGGGUGCAAGCGUUGUCCGGAAUUAUUGGGCGUAAAGAGCUCGUAGGCGGUCUGUCGCGUCUGCUGUGAAAACUCAGGGCUUAACCCUGAGCUUGCAGUGGGUACGGGCAGACUAGAGUGCGGUAGGGGAGACUGGAAUUCCUGGUGUAGCGGUGAAAUGCGCAGAUAUCAGGAGGAACACCGGUGGGCGAAGGCGGGGUCUCUGGGCCGUAACUGAACG
rnacentral:rRNA from 1 species